ACGCGUCCACCAGAUGCAUUCUUUCGCCAUAGCCACAAGUACGAUAAAUACAGCUCUUCCUUCCCGUUUAAAGGAAGGAGGCGUGACGAUAUUGACGAUAGAAAUUAAAAGAAGGAGAAACAUGAGAGAUAAAAGAUUCCACCUGAGGAUUGAAAAUCCUGCUGACAGCCAAAGGCUAUUCACCCAACUACAGGAAAAUAAUUGAUUAUAAAUAAAAGCUACAAUGGGUAGUGAAGGCGUGUGGCUGUCUUCGAAAUAAAGCAAAUUGAAUGAAGAUGAAGAUGAUGAUGAUGAUGAUGAUAUAACAACGACAAUAACAAUGACAUUGACAACAAUGGUGGUCAAGGUGAUGUGUGUUGUGUGACCAUCUAAUAUCGACUCAUAUCGGAAGGCUGAAAUUAUACAUAUUAUGUGCCAGUUGGAAAAGAGAGGAGACACAACUGAGUAGAAGUUUUGAAAGAACCUCACAACACACAAAUGACAUUGAGAUGUCUAAAAUGUACACAAAGACCAAAAUCAGGAACAAACAAAAGAAAACCCAAAUAUUAUGAAUAUCUUCCAAUCUCAAUAUGAAAUUAAAAAACAAAAAAAAUGAAAAGAGAAAAGGUUAUUGACCUACAAAAUGAAUGAAAAACAAACAAACAAAAAAAACGAAAAUUAUGAAAAAGACAAAAAAUGUAGAAACAAAACUAAAUCUAGCAGCUCAGAAUCUUAGUUAUAAUAUUUCCAACUUAAAUGAUUUCUGAUCUGAUAGAAAAGCUUAUCACAACUUUUAAGUCAAAGAUGAACAAUCUAGAACAGUUGUUGCCUGUUUAUAUAAAUUAUAAAGUGAAUCCUCCACAACUUUGUGACAUACUUAUCAACUGAAUUGAUCUGUGACUGAAUUCAGAAUUAUGAUGUUUUCCAUAUUCUAAAGAACAAAACAAAAUCAAUGAAUAAUAAUGAAGUGGUCGAUGUCCUCUCACAUGUGAGAGAGAGAGAGAGAGAGAGAGAGAGAGAGAGAGAGUGUGUGUGUGUGUGUGCAUGUGUGUGUUUGCCUGUGUGUGUACAUUUGCUAUUGUGUGUUUGUGUGUUCAUAUGUGCAUGUGUGUGUGUGUGUAUGUGUGUGCAUAUGUGUUUGCAUGCAUGCAUGUGCAUGCGUGUGUGUGUGUGUGUUUGCGUGUGUGUGUGUGUGUGUUCAUGUGUGUGCUUGUGUGUGUGUACAUUUGCCAUUGUGUGUUUGUGUGCUCAUAUGGGCAUGCAUGUACAUGUGUAUAUGUGCAUGUGCACAUAUAUGUGUGUGCAUGUGUUUGCGUGUGUGUGUGUUUGCAUGCAUGCAUGUGCAUAUGUUUGAGUGUGUGUGUGUGCAUAUUUUUGUACAUCUUUUAUCUUUGCUUUUAUCUUUUAUCACUUACUUGUUUCAAUCAUUGGGCUGUGGCCAUGCUGGAGCACUACUUUGAAGGGUUUAAUCAAACAAAUUGACGCCAGUACUUAUGUUUGUAUGUUUGGUACUUAUUCUAAUGGUCUCAUUUUGCUGAACAACUAAGUUAUGGGGGACAUAAACAAACCAAUACCAGUUGUCAAACAGUGGUGGGGGACAAACACAAACACAUACACACACACACACAUAUGCUUAUGUGCACACACACACGCACACAUGAUGGGACUCCUUUCAGUUUCUGUCUACCAAAUUCAUGUAUAAGACUUUGGUCAGCCUGAGGCUAUAGCAAAAGAUGCUUGCCCAGGGUGCUACACUGAUGCUUCCCCACUGAUUCUUAUUCACUUCCAGUUUACCCCUAGCUCUAAAAAGGGUUCCCUGUUUCAUAUUGUAGAGGCUCUGAGAUUGUAAAAUUUUGGUUUCUAUGGCUGGAUGCUCUUCCUAACAUCAGUCACUCUACAGAGUAUACAGGGUACCAUCAUCAGUGCUUUUUAUGUGGCUCCAACACUUGUGUUUUUUAUAUGGCCUUGUUUGAUUUCUCAGUACUUACUGGAAAAGACUUGGAAAGAUAAAGUUCCAUCUGCUUUCACAAAAAUUAACUAAGUAAAUAAAUAAAUAUAAGUAAAUAAAUAAAUAUAAGUAAAUAAACAAUUGCAGCAUGGAAGGUGUUUAUAAGCCGUUUAAGAAACACACAAAAACCGUUAGAUUCACUUCAACUUUUAAAUUUAAUUUGCUAAAAUAUUUCUGUCGCUUUGAGACCGCGACCUGUUCACUGACAAAAUUCCAUGCUGUAUCUAUAAAUAAAUAAAAUAUAUUUAAUUUUUGUAACAGAAUAUAAUAAAGUAUUUCCCUGAUGAUCCAUUGAAGUAAGGUAUCCAAAUGCACUUCAAACAUCCAAUGCUGAGUUCUACGAGAGGAGGUCAAAAAAUAUUUGCACUUUUGCCAUAACAUAUCAUUAUUAUUG